rnacentral:tRNA from 1 species
GUACUUAAUCUAAGUAAGAAUAAUGAUUUCGACUCAAUAAAUUUUGGUUAAAACCCAAAAGUACU